GAAGUACUCCCUCCGAUCCGAAAAUACCUGUCAUCAAAAAGAAUAAAAAGGGAUGUAUCUAGAUGUAUUUUAGUUCUAGAUACAUCUCUUUUCAUUCAUUUUGAUGACAAGUAUUUUCGGACGGAGGGAGUACUCC
rfam:Triticum aestivum genome assembly, contig: Triticum_aestivum_CS42_TGACv1_scaffold_223314_3B